UACGGAGGGAGCUAGCGUUGUUCGGAAUUACUGGGCGUAAAGCGCACGUAGGCGGCUUUGUAAGUUAGAGGUGAAAGCCCGGGGCUCAACUCCGGAACUGCCUUUAAGACUGCAUCGCUAGAAUCCGGGAGAGGUGAGUGGAAUUCCGAGUGUAGAGGUGAAAUUCGUAGGUAUUCGGAAGAACACCAGUGGCGAAGGCGGCUCACUGGACCGGUAUUGACGCUGAGGUGCGAAAGCGUGGGGAGCAAACAGG
rnacentral:rRNA from 1 species